rnacentral:rRNA from 1 species
UACCUGGUUGAUCCUGCCAGUAGUCAUAUGCUUGUCUCAAAGAUUAAGCCAUGCAUGUCUAAGUAUAAGCACUUGUACUGUGAAACUGCGAAUGGCUCAUUAAAUCAGUUAUCGUUUGUUUGAUUGUACUUUACUACAUGGAUACCUGUGGUAAUUCUAGAGCUAAUACAUGCGAAAAAUCCCGACUUCUGGAAGGGAUGUAUUUAUUAGAUUAAAAACCAAUGCGGAUCUUCGGGUCCGUUUUCUUGGUGAUUCAUGAUAACUUUUCGAAUCGCAUGGCCUAGAGCCGGCGAUAUUUCAUUCAAAUUUCUGCCCUAUCAACUGUCGAUGGUAAGGUAGUGGCUUACCAUGGUUAUAACGGGUGACGGAGAAUUAGGGUUCGAUUCCGGAGAGGGAGCCUGAGAAACGGCUACCACAUCUAAGGAAGGCAGCAGGCUCGAAAAUUACCCAAUCCCGACUCGGGGAGGUAGUGACAAGAAAUAACGAUACGGGGUCUUAAUAGGUCUCGCAAUUGGAAUGAGUACAAUUUAAAUCCUUUAACGAGGAUCAAUUGGAGGGCAAGUCUGGUGCCAGCAGCCGCGGUAAUUCCAGCUCCAAUAGC